CUACUACUCCCUCCGUCCGAAAAUACUUGUCAUUGAAAUGGAUGUAUCUAGAUGUAUUUUAGUUCUAGACACAUCCAUUUUGAUGACAAGUAAUUCUGGACGGAGGGAGUAUUAU
rfam:Triticum aestivum genome assembly, contig: Triticum_aestivum_CS42_TGACv1_scaffold_594335_7BS